AAAACAUUAGGACCGUCGGUCUACCGAGCAGCAUCACCCGCUCAAAGGAAGUUUUUCCCUUUGUCAU
rnacentral:pre_miRNA from 1 species